GGCGGCGUAGCCAAGCGGUAAGGCAAUGGUUUGCAAAACCAUCAUCACCAGUUCGAUUCUGGUCGCCGCUUCCA
rnacentral:tRNA from 2 species